CUAUGCAGAUCAAAUGGGUUAAUUUGGCCCCUUUCGUCAGUAAUGGCGAUCGAAAACCUCUUUAAUUGCUGGGAACUCCUUAUAGGACAAUCAGCAGCGAAGCCUCAUUCGAGGAACGUUCAACGACUAGGCAAAAGCCGUAGGCUACAAGCGAUUGGUAGUCGAAACUGGAGGCAUCCCAAUGGGAUGAAGAUAUAGUCUAAUCUUCGUGGUAACAUGAAG
rnacentral:ncRNA from 1 species